CAGCAGUGAGGAAUAUUGGUCAAUGGCCGAAGGGCUGAACCAGCCAAGCCGCGUGAAGGAUUAAGGCCCUACGGGUCGUAAACUUCUUUAGUCAGGGAACAAAGGGCGCCACGUGUGGCGCUGUGAGUGUACCUGAAGAAUAAGCAUCGGCUAACUCCGUGCCAGCAGCCGCGGUAAUACGGAGGAUGCGAGCGUUAUCCGGAUUUAUUGGGUUUAAAGGGUGCGUAGGCGGUUUGUCAAGUCAGCGGUAAAAAUUCCGGGCUCAACCCGGUCCCGCCGUUGAAACUGGCGAACUCGAGAGGGAGAGAAGUAGGCGGAAUGCGCAGUGUAGCGGUGAAAUGCAUAGAUAUUGCGCAGAACUCCGAUUGCGAAGGCAGCCUACCGGCUCCUGUCUGACGCUGAGGCACGAAAGCGUGGGUAUCGAACAGGAUUAGA
rnacentral:rRNA from 1 species